UACGUAGGGGUGCAAGCGUUUAAUCGGAAUUACUGGGCGUAAAGCGUGCGCAGGCGGUUAUGCAAGACAGAUGUGAAAUCCCCGGGCUUAACCUGGGAACCGCAUUUGUGACUGCAUAGCUGGAGUACGGCAGAGGGGGAUGGAAUUCCGCGUGUAGCAGUGAAAUGCGUAGAUAUGCGGAGGAACACCGAUGGCGAAGGCAAUCCCCUGGGCCUGCACUGACGCUCAUGCACGAAAGCGUGGGGAGCAAACAGG
rnacentral:rRNA from 1 species